UUCCCAUCUUGCCCUCGCGUCACGGUCCACUCCACCCGCUCCACUCGCGUCCCUCACUCUCUUCUCCACCCGCUCCACGACGCCGUGCUCCACCGUCGCCUGCAACGCCGGCCGCCCCCCACCACCCUCCCUCCCUCAACGCGGUCGCGGAUCCCCAGACGACGCGCCCUCGCGACCUCUUGCCACCCCCAGCCGCCUCGCUCAAUCUCUCCAUACGACAAGCAAGAUAAGUUUUUUCUACCGGUGCCCCAAGAUUACUAAGCGGCGGCGCUCGAUUCGUGGCCGAUGGGGCUAGAUCCGACGACAGCAAAGGAGAAGGCGGCUGGAAGCGUAAGAGAAGGAGGCCGGCUCCCUCCUGCCGGCCGUCGACCGCUCCCCUGGGCGCGGAGCUUCGCCUCCUUAUCCCCUGUUUGGCCCGUGGCUGCCGACCGCGACACGCGCUCCAAGGCAGGCUGUUGAUGCGGCGCUCGACUGGCUCUGGCUGCUGCCGCAGGCUGCAGGCGCCGGGGUACGAGGUGGAGAACUGGAGGCGCUGCACGAGAUCUACAAGAAGGUCAGCUUCUCCAUCAUAAAAUUACUCAGCGCCCAAGGCAGGUAGUGAAUGGUACCUGGACUAUCCUACCUGGACGCCAUCCUCCUUGGAGCGAUAGGAGGGUGAGUGAAAUCAUCUACUAAUACUCAUCUGCAUUUGCCUGUAUUGCAUUUGCUUGGGUGAGAAUCAUUGAUCUGCACCUCAAGCCUGAGACUAGGUUGCUCUGUAUCAGUGUUAGGCUUGGCGUGUUUGCCAAUCUGCGGCCAGCACUAAUAUUCGUGCUUCAGAUAACUACCUUGCUAUAUGGCUUAAGUUGCAUCCAAGGUCUUGUAUCAAUGGCAUCAGAGUGUCCCUUUGCCUGGUGGUUAGGUUCAGAUUUAGCUGUAUGUGUUGAGUAAUUUUACUGAUCUAAGGGAUAAUUGAAUGAGCAACUCCUGCUCCACUAUGCUAGGUUUCAUGAUGUUGGCCUAGUAAUCUUCAUUUGCAGGAGGAUCUCAGUAUCCCUGUUGCUGUCACAAUUUUUACUGCAUGUUACUCCACAACACCUGAAACUUGUCUGAAGUUGCUAAUGACAAUUCUUUAGCAUCAGUAGUUGCUACUGCUUAAUUGUAUCAGUAUAACUUGUUAAGGAAUCCGUAACCUUGUGAACCAUUUGGAAUGCUCCCAUAAUCUUGCUCAGCUAAUACAUGAUCAGUCCGCACAAUCUCCAUCUGGCAGUAAUGAACAUGGAUUGAGAGGAAGCCUCUACCACUGCCGUUGCUACAAGAUUAAGGUGUAGGAGAAAAAGAUGAAGAAGCAAGUGCAAACUUAUAUAUAUUUUCCAUGUGUUUCUUAGUGCCAGACUUUGCCAGUUAGUACUCGAAUUUUACCUAGUGAUGACAGGCUACCAAUGCCUGCUUGUAUGACUGAGUUAUUUCUUGAAUUUCUGUGCUAGAAUAUGGCUAGAGCUAUGACUGUAGCAUAAUGGUUCAGAAUUAGAACGUGGAAGUCUGAAACAUACAUUUCAGUUCAAUCUGGGAAGACCGAUUCUAAAUAUAGGAAGGUACCGAUUCAAAAUCUUGGGUGUAUCAUUUCCUACGCCUGUCAGUGGACUGUGUCAAUGAUGAAUACAGCAUAACAAAGUAAUUUCUUGCCGAUUCUAAUUCUGAGAAGUUUCCUAGAUGAUUACAGGGGAUGGACUUGAAAUUCGCCUAGAUGAAUUGUCCACAAACUUACUUGGUGAGGCCUGCCUAACUAGUUUAUUGCAAUAGCCGUGGUGGAAACUGGAGAAGUGGAUGUGGCGGCGCUGAUAUGAGCGGGGAGAAGAGACGGAGCACGCUCUGCCAUAGUAGGGGAGAUAGAGCCUUUGUAGUGUGACCCUGAUGAACCACGGUCAUGUGAUGCUGGAUGCAAUGGUGGCUUGAUGACUACACCAUACUGAUAUGAUUGGUGGUGCUGCUCUUUGUUUAGCUGCUGCUCUCUGUACGAGGAGCACCUAGACAUCCAGGUGAUGGGUGAGGAAGAACCUGGGCGCCGGUGGUCGACGAAGAAGCGAGGGCCACCUAGGCGAGGGGAUCUCGUCCUCCAGGAUCACCUGGGCGAGGAGCUUCCCGGGCGGGAGGAGAUCAUCCUCCAGGAUCACCUGGGCGAGGAGCUACAUGGGCCGGAGAUCCAGGAGCACUUGGGCGGCUGGAGAUCUUCCUCCAGGAGCACUUGGGCGGCCGGAGAUCUUCCUCCAGGAGCACUUGGGCGAGGAGCUGCCUGGGUCGGAGGUGUAGGGACGGAGGAGUAGUUGGGGACGGAGGAGUAAUUGGGGCCGGAGGAGGAGCUGCUGGGGCUGGAGGUGGUAUCGCCGGCGAGGGCGAGGGCGGAGGAGGCGGAGGGCGAUCGAGGCGUGUACCGAUUGAAAUCUGGGGAACUAGGUGGGUACCGAUUCAGAUCUGGGAGGGUAGCAUCGUCUUUUUUCCCUUUUUCACCUGGUCGGAACCGAUCGUUAAACGUCUUAUAUUUCUGCACGGAGGGAGUAGACAAGAACUAUCCAUCUAGAA